CCCUUAGAUGUUCUGGGCUGCACGCGCGCUACACUGAAGCUAUCAACACGUUUUCCCUCCCUGAGAAGGGCGGGUAACCUUUUGAAUCAGCUUCGUGGUAGGGAUCGGGGCUUGCAAUUGUUCCCCGUGAACCAGGAAUUCCUAGUAGACGCGAGUCAUAAGCUCGCAUCGAUUAAGUCCCUGCCCUUUGUACACACCGCCCGUCGCUACUACCGAUUGAACGUUUUAGUGAGGCGUUUGGACCGACGCAUCUCAGUUUAACCGCUGGUUUGUGUUGGAAAGACUUCCAAACUUGAGCGUUUAGAGGAAGUAAAAGUCGUAACA
rnacentral:rRNA from 1 species